rnacentral:rRNA from 1 species
GCGCAGCAGGCGCGAAACCUUCGCAAUGCAGGAAACUGCGACGAGGGAACUCCAAGUGCCUACGCUCAGCGUAGGCUGUUCUCAAGCCUAGAAAGCUUGAGGAGUAAGGGCUGGGGUAAGACGGGUGCCAUCUGUGGUAGCAGUCAAUAGAUUCGAUUUGUUACUGCAAGGCAUAAGCCGCCGCGGUAAUACCCGCAGCCCAAAGUGGUGGCCGCUUUUAAUUGGGGCCUAAAGCGUCCGUAGCCGGCCCGGUAAAUGCCUGGGGUAAAUCGUGGAGCCCAACUUCAC